GCUGGGCGUGGUGGCGCGCGCCUGUAAUCCCAGCUACUCUGGAGGCUAAGGCAGGAGAAUCGCUUGAACCCGGGAGGCAGAGGUUGCAGUGAGCUGAGAUCGCACCACUGCACUCCAGCCUGGGUGACAGAGCGAGAUUCCAUCUUAU
rnacentral:SRP_RNA from 1 species